CAGCAGCCGCGGGAACACGUAGGUGGCAAGCGUUGUCCGGAAUUAUUGGGCGUAAAGCGCGCGCAGGUGGUUUAAUAAGUCUGAUGUGAAAGCCCACGGCUCAACCGUGGAGGGUCAUUGGAAACUGUUAAACUUGAGUGCAGGAGAGAAAAGUGGAAUUCCUAGUGUAGCGGUGAAAUGCGUAGAGAUUAGGAGGAACACCAGUGGCGAAGGCGGCUUUUUGGCCUGUAACUGACACUGAGGCGCGAAAGCGUGGGGAGCAAACAGGAUUAGAUACCCGCGUAGUCCCUGUCUCUUAUAC
rnacentral:rRNA from 1 species